GUGUGCAUAGAUCAGUGGUCAGAGCAUCCCUCCGGAUUGAGGUGGUCAUGGGUUCACAUCCCAUUGCACACA
rnacentral:tRNA from 1 species